rnacentral:rRNA from 1 species
UACGUAGGGAGCAAGCGUUGUCCGGAAUCAUUGGGCGUAAAGCGCGCGUAGGCGGCCCCGUAAGUCCGCUGUGAAAGACAAAGGCUCAACCUUUGAAAGCCGGUGGAUACUGUGGGGCUAGAGUCCGGAAGAGGCGAGUGGAAUUCCUGGUGUAGCGGUGGAAUGCGCAGAUAUCAGGAGGAACACCAAUAGCGAAGGCAGCUCGCUGGGACGGUACUGACGCUAAGGCGCGAAAGCGUGGGGAGCGAACAGG